rnacentral:sRNA from 1 species
ACUUUGCGUUAGCGGUUGUAGUGGCAUCCUUUUUUUGCUUUACUAAAUGGCAAAAAAAGAUAUAACGUAAAACGCGCCCUUUA